rnacentral:lncRNA from 1 species
CACAAUUUGGGGGGGAAGUGAUUUGGGGGGGGCGUCCCCAAACACUUUGUGUAACGUCUGGGGAGGGCUGUAACCCCUACGGUGUUUAUGGGGGGGGGCCAUGACCCUCUGCCCCCCCCCCAGUUAUGCUGUGUCCCCCCCCCCAGGGUGGCGAAGCAGAGCCGGGGGGCCCCCCACUGGCUGCGGAGGGACCUGCGGGUGCGCUGCGUGGACAAAGCCUUCCAGGGGGGGCGCUUCUACAACUGCAAGAUGGUGGUGGAGGACCUGCUCUCCCCCGACACCUGCGUUUGCCGGACGGACGAGGGGCGCCUGGUGGACGGCCUGCAGGAGGCCAUGCUGGAGACCGUCAUUCCCCGGGGCGACGCCGACCGCGUCAUGGUGGUGCUGGGCGAGCAUGCUGGCAAGGUGAGCGCCCCCCCCAGCCCCAUUUCCAUCGCUGGGGGGGGUCCUGUUGGAGCUCCCCCCCCCCAAAUUUUAACCCUCCCCCCCCAAUUCCAGGUGGGCCAGAUUCUGGAGCGGGACCCAUCGAGGAGCCGGGCGCUGGUGCAGCUGCAGCGCGAGGCGGGCUCGAGGGUGCUGGCGCUGGAUUACGACGCCAUCUGCCAUUUUCUGGGGGGGCACGAAGACGAUUGAGACCCCCCCCCCCCCCGGGAAAAACAAGGGCACCCACCAGCUUCCAACAUGGCCGCCUCAGCUUCAGGGGGAAUAAACAGCGCCAAAACAAGUUGCUGAUGUCCUCGGCUUUGCGGGGACGGCCCCGUUUGGGAACCCAGGCGUCUUGGUGAGGCCCCCCCCGGCAAAAAAAACCUCGCUGGAGCCCCCCCGCGCCGGCUGCAGGCAUAGCUGCGCGUUUGCCAGCUUCCAAGAUGGCGGAGAGGGCGGCUGCUGGAGCUGCCAGCUUCCAACAUGGCGCGUUGCUAGGGGC